rnacentral:snoRNA from 1 species
AGCGACUCUACUUCAAAGAAUCACUUCAUUAGUAGACGCCUUCCGCUGUUUUUUUCGAAAAUAGCCACAUAUCCCACCCUUGCUGAUGACCUCCAUGUCCUCGAUACCCUAAAGUGAAAUUUUGUGGCACUCUUGUAAUUGCAAGUUUGUCCGUUUACUCCCGAUUCGAAUAGUUUUGAGCUCUUGUGUGUCCCGUCGUGGAUACACAGGCGAGAAGUCUUAUUCCAGGGAGUGGUGAUGAUCUUUACCUUGUUUUGGCGUCUUGACUUCGGUCGGCUGAACUUGGUGGGUGUCGAGGAGGUCUGAAAGGC